CGCGUAGGUGGCUUGGCAAGUUGGGUGUGAAAGCCCAGGGCUCAACCCUGGAAUUGCACUCAAGACUGCCUUGCUUGAAUUCGGUAGAGGUUGGUGGAAUUCCCAGUGUAGAGGUGAAAUUCGUAGAGAUUGGGAAGAACACCCGUGGCGAAGGCGGCCAACUGGACCGACAUUGACACUGAGGCGCGAAAGCGUGGGGAUCAAACAGGAUUAGAUACCCUGGUAGUCCACGCCGUAAACGAUGCAUGCUAGACGUUGGAAGGCUUAGCUUUCUUGUGUCGCAGCUAACGCAUUAAGCAUGCCGCCUGGGGAGUACGGCCGCAAGGUUGAA
rnacentral:rRNA from 1 species